UUGUUUAUUGCGUUUGUGAUCUAAAAAGGAACUGUUAAACUGAAUUUCUGAUUCUGAAUAAUGCUUCUGAAAUUAGAAACGUGUUAUCAAUACUUAUGAAAACAGAGUCUGUUCGUGUUAAUCCAUUCCAGAAUAAUAAUAAUAAUAAUAAUUGUUCUCAUAUUCUCCAUAAGUGGCAGUCUGGGCCUGGGCACAGGUUAAUCUUGAGGUUUGGUUUAUAUUACAUUGUAAAAUAUAUGCUACAUGUCAAUAUGUAUGCAUGAUAAUUGAAUAAUGGUGAUCUCGAUUCAGACACAUGCAAACUUAUUUCUAAAUGACAAUGAUUCCUCUGUCUAGUAAACCUUCUAAAUUAUGAUCACAACUGUAAAUUUAAACCUGUGUUCCCUCUGCCGCUCAUCCGAAGAGAGGGCCAUUAAUGGAUAAGGUAGAAUGUGCAGAGCGGUGGCUCCUCGGGAUCAGGAUUGAAAAUCACUUUCUGUUUAUCUAAAGAAAGUCAUUAAUUAGGAACAGUGUGAGGAUGAGUAAAUAAUGAAAACAUUUUGUGUGAAUCAACUGACUGACUUGGCCAUUCUCCAAUUAGCUUAAAAAAAAAUCUUCACUGUAGAAAUUUCAGAUCAUUGUUGUGGUGUAUAGAUUUUUUAUUUUCUCUUUCAAAAUUCAUUUUCCUUUCAACUUCAUUUCCAUCAGCAGUUUCACCGUCAUUAGAGAUGAGUUGGUCAAAGAAUGCCUUGAUUCACAAACUCUAUGGAGUCACUGUAGUUGUGAUUUUGUGUGUAUGCAGCAUAACAAGCCACAUUUUGUUUUACUUUUUAGACCAGCCCAGAAGUUGUAAUUCUAUGCUUAACUGUCUGCCUCUCUGAGAAUCUCAUCAAGCACCAUCAGAUACUCAUGGGAAUAAGGAGAAACUGGAACUGCUCACACUUAAAAUCAUCAUGAAAGGUGGCUCAACAGAUGAUCCAUUACAGACUAGGAUAGUGCUGGAAGGCAUAGAGGUGAUGAUGUAAUUGGAAGGUGUAAAAGGCUUGUGUUUCUCUGCUUGGCCUAAUUUAUGCAAUUAAUCUGAGUUACCCCAAUGAGCUCAAUGUGUAAUGUUUGUCUGCAACUGUUCGAUUAAAUUCUUGAUUUAUUCUUACGAUAUUUGUCGUGUGUUCCAAAAGUAAAUGUAAGAAAAAUUGUUGCAAAGGGUGAAAAAAAGUGUAAUCGAUUGUGAAGUUUGCAAUCUCUGUGUUACAAAAAAAAAAUGUAAAUGUUUGAAAAAUGUAAACCCUUUAAGAAGUGUUGCAAAGGGUGAAAAAUCAAGAAAAUAACAUGUUGGAAAUGAAGCUCCAUUUGUAUAUUUGUCACAUUUUGUUGUACAUUUAUGAUGUGUGGUUUUAGGCUUCACCUUCACCACAGCCUGUCAAAAAAAUAAACUGAAAUGCUUUAUUUUGUGUAA